GACGAACGCUGGCGGCGUGCUUAACACAUGCAAGUCGAACGGAAAGGCCCUGCUUUUGUGGGGUGCUCGAGUGGCGAACGGGUGAGUAACACGUGAGUAACCUGCCCUUGACUUUGGGAUAACUUCAGGAAACUGGGGCUAAUACCGGAUAGGAGCUCCUGCUGCAUGGUGGGGGUUGGAAAGAUUCGGCGGUUGGGGAUGGACUCGCGGCUUAUCAGCUUGUUGGUGGGGUAGUGGCUUACCAAGGCUUUGACGGGUAGCCGGCCUGAGAGGGUGACCGGCCACAUUGGGACUGAGAUACGGCCCAGACUCCUACGGGAGGCAGCAGUGGGGAAUAUUGCACAAUGGGCGGAAGCCUGAUGCAGCAACGCCGCGUGCGGGAUGUCGGCCUUCGGGUUGUAAACCGCUUUCGCCUGUGACGAAGCGUGAGUGACGGUAAUGGGUAAAGAAGCACCGGCUAACUACGUG
rnacentral:rRNA from 1 species